rnacentral:rRNA from 1 species
GAUGAACGCUGGCGGCGUGCCUAAUACAUGCAAGUCGAGCGAACGGACGAGAAGCUUGCUUCUCUGAUGUUAGCGGCGGACGGGUGAGUAACACGUGGAUAACCUCCCUAUAAGACUGGGAUAACUUCGGGAAACCGGAGCUAAUACCGGAUAAUAUUUUGAACCGCAUGGUUCAAAAGUGAAAGACGGUCUUGCUGUCUCUUAUAGAUGGAUCCGCGCUGCAUUAGCUAGUUGGUAAGGUAACGGCUUACCAAGGCAACGAUGCAUAGCCGACCUGAGAGGGUGAUCGGCCACACUGGAACUGAGACACGGUCCAGACUCCUACGGGAGGCAGCAGUAGGGAAUCUUCCGCAAUGGGCGAAAGCCUGACGGAGCAACGCCGCGUGAGUGAUGAAGGUCUUCGGAUCGUAAAACUCUGUUAUUAGGGAAGAACAUAUGUGUAAGUAACUGUGCACAUCUUGACGGUACCUAAUCAGAAAGCCACGGCUAACUACGUG